GGUGUUUUUUUUUUGGGGGGGGUUUUGGGUGUUACGAUUCUUCUUCAUCUUCAAUUUAUAAGGCAUAGACCGGUAAUCAUGGCAAUUCGUUUUCGGUUUCCACAACAAGGCGGCAUGAACCCACCAGGAUUGGAACUUAGACUACAGUUGUGCCGCGGGAUUCUGCUUAAGGUAAGUCAUUUUGAAGUAAAAAGAAAAAAAGAUUUUAUUUUGAAGUUCUCACCGCAUUGGCGGCGUGUUCCUGUCAUGCGUGGAACAAACAAUUGCGGCUCAUUUGACUCGUCUUCCCGACGAUGCCCGAUGCAUAAACAGGCAGGAAAAAAAAAUUUGCGAGCAUUGUUUUGCAAAACAAGAUCCCCCUAGUCAACAGCGAGCGGUGAUUAGGGGCGGGUAUUGCAGUGCCCCAUGAGAGGGAGCAGAUGGGGCACCUAUUUUCGAUUUAAUACAUCAGUGGGUUGUGACACUUGUGUCGUAAUUUUCUUUCUGCGUUUUCCUCGCUGCUCCCGGGGCGCUGUGCCAUCCGCCCUUCGUGUGUCAUUCUGUGAGCUGAGCUGAGCGUGAUUGGCAGAUUGUUUCUUUUAUGGGGCAAACGUGACAAAAAAAAAUCAAAAUAAAUAAUCAAAAUAAUCAUCAUAACGGGAGCAGUCAGAGAAAAAGUGACAAUCCCCCAGAAAGCCAAAAUGACAAUCAAAGCAUCCCUGAGAGCACUUUGGUCCGCAGCAGGUUUGCGUUGUUCGUGUUGGAGGCAGAGUGACACUUUCACCUUCGCGACGCUUCGGGCUCCAAUUUUGAGUUUCACCAAUCGACCCGAAAUUUGGUGGCCACUUCUAUUAUGACAGAAGGCUCGAAACAGUCUCAAAUAUCCAAAAUUGAACCUGGAAUCGACCAUUUUGGGGCAAAUGCCAAAGCUUGAACCAACUCCUACUCGGUAGGAAAUUUGAACAAACCGGCAGGAUUAAAAUGCACGAGUCUUGUGUUUUCGUCACUGCGUGUUGGAACGUAGCAGCCACGUUAAACGAGUCUUUGUAAAAUAUGAAAGCAUCAGUUACAUCACGAGGAAGCGAGAAAAAAA